CUACGGGAGGCACCAGUGGGGAAUAUUGCACAAUGGGCGCAAGCCUGAUGCAGCCAUGCCGCGUGUAUGAAGAAGGCCUUCGGGUUGUAAAGUACUUUCAGCGGGGAGGAAGGGAGUAAAGUUAAUACCUUUGCUCAUUGACGUUACCCGCAGAAGAAGCACCGGCUAACUCCGUGCCAGCAGCCGCGGUAAUACGGAGGGUGCAAGCGGUAAUCGGAAUUACUGGGCGUAAAGCGCACGCAGGCGGUUUGUUAAGUCGGAUGUGAAAUCCCCGGGCUCAACCUGGGAACUGCAUCUGAUACUGGCAAGCUAGAGUGUGGUAGAGGGGGGUAGAAUUCCAGGUGUAGCGGUGAAAUGCGUAGAGAUCUGGAGGAAUACCGGUGGCGAAGGCGGCCCCCUGGACGAAGACUGACGCUCAGGUGCGAAAGCGUGGGGAGCAAACAGGAUUAGAUACCCCCGUAGUC
rnacentral:rRNA from 1 species